UGAUCCUGGCUCAGAACGUACGCUGGCGGCACGCCUAACACAUGCAAGUCGAACGAAGUAGCAAUACUUAGUGGCAGACGGGUGAGUAACAUGUAGGUAUCUGCCCUUUGGCCUGGAAUAACACGAGGAAACUUGUGCUAAUACCGGAUAAGUCUUUACGGAGAAAGCUUUAUGCACCAUUGGAUGAGCCUGCACUUGAUUAGUUUGUUGGUGGGGUAAUGGCCUACCAAGACUGUGACCAAUAGCUGAUUUGAGAGGAUGAUCAGCCACAUUGGGACUGAGACACGGCCCAAACUCCUACGGGAGGCAGCAGUGGGGAAUCUUGCACAAUGGAGGAAACUCUGAUGCAGCGAUGCCGCGUGAGUGAAGAAGGCCCUUGGGUUGUAAAGCUCUUUCGUCGGGGAAGAAAAUGACUGUACCCGAAUAAGAAGGUCCGGCUAACUUCGUGCCAGCAGCCGCGGUAAUACGAAGGGACCUAGCGUAGUUCGGAAUUACUGGGCUUAAAGAGUUCGUAGGUGGUUGAAAAAGUUAGUGGUGAAAUCCCAGAGCUUAACUCUGGAACUGCCAUUAAAACUUUUCAGCUAGAGUAUGAUAGAGGAAAGCAGAAUUUCUAGUGUAGAGGUGAAAUUCGUAGAUAUUAGAAAGAAUACCAAUUGCGAAGGCAGCUUUCUGGAUCAUUACUGACACUGAGGAACGAAAGCAUGGGUAGCGAAGAGGAUUAGAUACCCUCGUAGUCCAUGCCGUAAACGAUGUGUGUUAGACGUUGGAAAUUUAUUUUCAGUGUCGCAGGGAAACCGAUAAACACACCGCCUGGGGAGUACGACCGCAAGGUUAAAACUCAAAUGAAUUGACGGGGACCCGCACAAGUAGUGGAGCAUGUGGUUUAAUUCGAAGAUACGCGCAGAACCUUACCAACACUUGACAUGUUCGUCGCGACUCUAAGAGAUUAGAGUUUUCGGUUCGGCCGGACGAAACACAGGUGCUGCAUGGCUGUCGUCAGCUCGUGUCGUGAGAUGUUGGGUUAAGUCCCGCAACGAGCGCAACCCUCACUUUUAGUUGCCAUCAUUAAGUUGGGCACUCUGAAAGAACUGCCAGUGAUAAGCUGGAGGAAGGUGGGGAUGACGUCAAGUCAGCAUGCCCCUUACAUCCUGGGCUACACACGUACUACAAUGGUCGAGACAAAGGGUCGCUAACCUGCGAAGGUAUGCCAAUCUCAUAAACUCGAUCUCAGUUCGGAUUGUACUCUGCAACUCGAGUACAUGAAGGUGGAAUCGCUAGUAAUCGCUGGUCAGCAUACAGCGGUGAAUACGUUCCCGGGUCUUGUACACACUGCCCGUCACACCAUGGAAGUCGACCCUUCCCUAAGUCGUUACUCGAACCUGUAAAGGACGAGGACGCCGAAGGCAGAGUUGGUGACUAGGGUGAAGUCGUAACAAGGUAACC
rnacentral:rRNA from 1 species